ACCAUUGAUUACGAAAGAUCA
rnacentral:snRNA from 1 species